AUUAUCUAAUUUUAACUAAUCAAUUAUUUUUUAAAAUUUUAGGCGAUGUUCACCAUGUGGCACCAAGAUCAGUUUGUAAUAAUGGGCAAACUUAUUCCGAUGAAGAAAAGCAGUGUCAUUGUCAGUGUGUAAAGUAUCAAUGGAAUUGUGGUCCAAAAGCGUUUAUUCCCACAACUCCCAAACCUGCUCCACUUUGUGAACCAGGAACGGAAUUUAAAUACGGAUGUAAUUGGUGUUUUUGUUCAAGCGUUGGAACCCCAACUUAUUGUACUUCGAUGCCAUGUUAAGCAUUUUGGGGAAAAAAAUAAUUUCAACAAAAUUAAAAGUUAUUAGCUAAAAAAUUUC